rnacentral:rRNA from 1 species
AUGCCUGGUGCGGUUGUGACGCCGCAGCCGGAGGUGGUGGAAGAGGGGCAUCGGUCGUCGCCGACGCCGGUGAAGUGCGGGCUCCUCCGCACCAACUCCCCACUGGCGCAGGUGUGCCUGAUCGGCCUCGUGUGCUUUUGCUGCCCUGGCAUGUUCAACGGUCGCCGACAAUGCCAACACCGCCCUCUACGCCUAUGCUUCGCCGUCUUCGGCAUCUUGGGCGGCGCGGCUCACAACCUCUUGGGCCCACGCACCACCCUCCUCCUCGGCGCUCUCACAUACCCGCUCUACGAUGCCUCCUUCCUCUACUACAACCACUGCCGCUCCAUGGCGUUUCCCGUCGCCGCAGGGGCCAUCCUCGGCGCCGGCGCGGGCCUCCUCUGGGCUGCCCAGGGUGCAAUCAUAACCGCCUACCCGCCUCCGAAGCGCCGCGGCACCUACAUCUCCAUCUUCUGGUGCCUCUACAAUUUUGGAGGCGUCUUUGGGGGCCUCUUCCCCUUCUCACUCAACUACCACCGUGGCAGCGAUGCCGGUAGCGUCAACGACGGCACCUACAUCGCAUUCAUGGUGUUCAUGCUCCUCGGAAGCGCGCUCGCCCUCCUCAUCCUACCGCCUAGCAAGAUCACCCCCAGUGAGGGUGCUGAGAUCCUUAAGAUCUUCACCAAUUGGAAGAUGCUUCUUGUGUUCCCCGCGGCUUGGGACAACAACUUCUUCUACACCUACCAGUUCAACAAUGGCCUUAACAAUGUAUUCUACUGGGGUAGGGGAUUCAUAUGGGUGAUUAUCGUCGCCACACUCGGUACCGCCAUCUGGGGAGGAGGCCUCGCCACCCAACUGAGGUACAAGGACGGCAAGUGGGAGGACCUCAUCGAUUUCAAGGAUGGACGUCGGUACGCUAGCCCAUUUCUGCUCUUCUUCAGCUAUGGGCUGCUGGACGCCAUCUUCCAGAGCCUCGUCUACUGGAUCAUUGCUGCCCUCUCAGACGACUCACAGGUCCUCAGUAGGUAUAUCGGGUUCUACAAUGGGGCGCAAAGUGCAGGGGCGGCUGUUGCAUGGCAGGUCAACAGACACAAGACGUCAUUGAUAUCCCAACUGUUUGUCAACUGUGGACUUAUGACUUUCAGUUGCCCCUUGCUUGCCCUACUGGUGUUCUUGGCCGUAAAGGAUGAAGCCAGUACGAUGGUUGUAAAGGAUGAAGACAGUUUAGUUCCCUAG